UGGCACCUAGAGUCCAUUACUUGCAUGUUGCCAUUUUCACAUUCUCCAUUAUAGAUGUUUAUGUUAGUUUCACCUGUGUGUCUCCCUCCCUGGACCAAAAGUUCCUUCAAGGUGUGUUUCUCCUGCAUUUCCCAGAGCACUUAGCAUACAGCGCUUUGAGCCAGGCCUCCCCCAAGCUCUAGUUCCAUUGUUUGUUAGCAAUGUGGUCUUGGACAAGUCACUUUAUCUCUGAGACCUCGAGGUGUCUCAUCUAUAAAAUGGGGUAAUGAUUUUUAUUGCAUAGGAUAAUUGUGAGGAUUAAGUAAAGUACCUAGUUAGCACUCAAUAAACAUUAGUCGCCUUCCUCCCGCCUCUGGUCCCUGGUUCAGAAAGAUUGUUGCAACAUCGUGGGGGAGCGUCAAGGGAGGGAGGAGGGCCUCGCUCUUCCCGUGGGUCCCGCGGACACACUGGGUGCACCUGAAAGAUCUCACGGGCACUGGCUUGCGGAGCGGCCGGGCAGAGAGGCCGGAUAUCAGCACUGUUGGGCGAAGCCUUGGGCAUCAGUGGUAGUCACUGCCACCCGUUCCUAUAUGGGCAUGUUUGACAACUUCCAAGGAGUGCUCAUCUUUGAUGUAAACAGAAAGAAAACGCUGAAAACGAUUCGCAAAAGCAAACUUUAUAGUAUGAGUCUCCUUGUCUAGGAUAAUACUUUAAACCAAGGUAUGCUCGUAGGGAGAGGUAAACAGUCAUCUGCCAGUGAGUCGUUUCCUUCCUGUCCCCGUCGCUGCUCAGUCUGUGUACAGAAUCUGUGCUGUGAGAUCAUAAGGGUCAUUGUCAUGGCUGUGAUCAUCCUUGUCAUCACCAUCAACGGCAGCCUCUUCCUCCCUCCCCUCAUCCACCCACAGCUGCCAUGUGGGCGGGAGGCAGGGCAGGGGGCAGGGUCCCCCCCUCCUCACCUCCCAUGCCAUUCUAUAUAGACCCCGUGGCUAUACAUAGCCUCGUGGGUCACCGCACUGCUUGGAUACGUACUUGAUUCUUCCAGCAACCCCACGAGGACAGCGGUUUACUGUGGCUCUUUGGUGCCCAGGAAGAGCCCUGCAUCGGGAGGAAGAUGGUGGAGGUACUGACUGUGGCUCUGCCUCUUGCUUCCAAGAGAACUUGGACAAGUCACGUGACUUCUCUGAUCUUCAGCGUUACCAUGUAGCAUCGGACAAGAUCUAGGGGCUUUGAUUUUCCUGGCAAUGAUCAUGAUCUUCUCUCUCAACUCAUCGCUCAGCCUGAGCCUGAAAUGUCCUGCUCCUCCAGGCAGAGGAGACCUGCCCUCCCGAAGCCCUGUGGACGGUGCCACCAGAACAACAAUACUGAGAAUGACAGAGAUGUUCCGCUUUCCCUGUCCGUCACCGGUGGGCAGCCACCUCCCGGAAGCGGAUGAGCCUCCCUCCCACCAAUCACUGGAAGAUCAGUGGUAGCCCCACCCCCCGACACAGCCGGAGUCACCCCCUCGCUUCCUCUCGCCACACAGUCAUUUUAUCAUCUCAAGUCGGCCCGAUGAGGGUAAAGCAGCUGAGCUCAAGAGAGGUUUGAAUAACUUGUUCUAGACCACACGGCUACUAAGAAGAACCAGGAUCCACACAUUUGUGUAUAAAGUCUCAUAGUGUUUGUUUGUGCCCUGACGGCACGAUGCUCCUCCCCUAAGAGUGGUGGCCGUGGGGGAAAGGCACUGGCCUGGGAGUCAGGAAGCCUCUGGUCCUGCCUGCGUCUGCCCGUAACCUAUGAGUCAUCUUGGGAGCUUGACUUCCUGGAGAGUGAAUAGAGGACCGUUCCUGUCCACACGUUCCCUGAGAUCCUUCCUCCGUCCAGUCAAAGGCCUCUUCUGACGUUAUCCUUAUGCUCAUUGUCCAGAUUUAGGUGCCAUAGCCUAAUGGAAACACUAAAAAAUUGGAGUAUAUCCAGGAGGAGACAUUCAUAUGAUGAGGAACCUGAACAUCCUUCUAAAGAGCUGCAACUGAGGAAGUGCCCCAUAAGAGCAGGGGCAGUCUAACAUGGCUGGCGCAGACGUUUCUAAUCACGGACCACUACUGUAAAUAUUCUCUAGUCCCGGCCAGUCUCCGAUCUGUGAAGCUAGUGUAUGAGCCUCAUCUGCUUUCUGGAACCCUGGUCCUCCACUUGCGUUCUUGCCUCCUCGCUUGGGAUGCCAGCGGUAACGGGACUGGCUCCCCGUUCUGAUUCUGAACAAGGUUACAGGCCAGUAUGGACUUCACUGCCCAGACUGGAAGUGAACUAGGAGGAAGGGACUGGGAAGAGCAUCUCCAAACACACCCAGAACUGCCGUUGGGUUAUACAUGGACUCUUGGAAGAGAACAGCUACAGGUUUUCAGCGAGGGCUUGAUGGGAGAAAAAGGGAAAAAAGGCUGGACUUCACUGCGGCUCAUAGUCUCCAGGCAGGAUUCUUGAAGCACACAGGUUGUAACACCCCUACAGCUACCUCGAGGACUUCCUUUAAUGUUUCACCACCAGAGCUUCGUUCUGCUUCCACAAGAGGCUAUGCCAUGCUUCAAAACACUGCAACAGAAAGAAGAGGGGAAAAAAAAAAGAUUUCUAGACAAUCCAGUCUGUAUGAAAUACCUAGGGCAAUUCCUGGCACCAAAGAGGUGUUGAGUGUAAGUUAAAUGGAUUUUUUUAUGUGAUUAUUGAAAAUGUCUUCUACGCCUUCUUCACAAAUACUAUCCCCAAACAAACUACGUUUGUCAACACCAAGGUCGAAACAGUACCACAAAAGAGAAGAUUUCUCUGCUGG